AUUGAACGCUAGCGGGAUGCCUUACACAUGCAAGUCGAACGGAGUCGCGGACGGGUGAGUAAUAUAUCGGAACGCGCCCAGUAGCGGGGGAUAACUACUCGAACGAGUGGCUAACACCGCAUACUAUUGGAGCGGCCGAUAUCGGACUAGCUAGUUGGUGGGGUAAAGGCUCACCAAGACAACGAUCCGUAGCUGGUUUGAGAGGACGACCAGCCACACUGGAACUGAGACACGGUCCAGACUCCUACGGGAGGCAGCAGUGGGGAAUUUUGGACAAUGGGGGAAACCCUGAUGCAGCCAUGCCGCGUGUGUGAUGAAGGCCUUCGGGUUGUAAAGUACUUUUGGCAGAGAAGCGGUAUCUGCAGAAUAAGCACCGGCUAACUACGUGCCAGCAGCCGCGGUAAUAC
rnacentral:rRNA from 1 species